rnacentral:rRNA from 1 species
UACAGAGGUGGCAAGCGUUGUUCGGAAUUACUGGGCGUAAAGCGUGUGCAGGCGGUUGUGUAAGUUUGUUGUGAAAUCCCCGGGCUCAACCUGGGAAUUGCGAUGAAGACUGCACGGCUAGAGUGUGUCAGAGGGGGGUAGAAUUCCACGUGUAGCGGUGAAAUGCGUAGAUAUGUGGAGGAACACCGAUGGCGAAGACAGCCCCCUGGGAUAACACUGACGCUCAUGCACGAAAGCGUGGGGAGCAAACAGG